rnacentral:rRNA from 1 species
UUAAGCGACUAAGCGUACACGGUGGAUGCCCUGGCAGUCAGAGGCGAUGAAGGACGUGCUAAUCUGCGAAAAGCGUCGGUAAGGUGAUAUGAACCGUUACAGCCGGCGAUGUCCGAAUGGGGAAACCCAGUGCAAUUCGUUGCACUAUCGUUAACUGAAUACAUAGGUUAACGAGGCGAACCGGGGGAACUGAAACAUCUAAGUACCCCGAGGAAAAGAAAUCAACCGAGAUUCCCCCAGUAGCGGCGAGCGAACGGGGAGCAGCCCAGAGUCUGAAUCAGCUUGUGUGUUAGUGGAACGGUCUGGAAAGUCCGACGGUACAGGGUGAUAGUCCCGUACACCAAAAUGCACAGGNNNNNNUGUGAACUCGAAGAGUAGGGCGGGACACGUGGUAUCCUGUCUGAAUAUGGGGGGACCAUCCUCCAAGGCUAAAUACUCCUGACUGACCGAUAGUGAACCAGUACCGUGAGGGAAAGGCGAAAAGAACCCCGGCGAGGGGAGUGAAAAAGAACCUGAAACCGUGUACGUACAAGCAGUGGGAGCACCUUCGGGUGUGACUGCGUACCUUUUGUAUAAUGGGUCAGCGACUUAUAUUCUGUAGCAAGGUUAACCGUAUAGGGGAGCCGCAGGGAAACCGAGUCUUAACUGGGCGUUAAGUUGCAGGGUAUAGACCCGAAACCCGGUGAUCUAGCCAUGGGCAGGUUGAAGGUUGGGUAACACUAACUGGAGGACCGAACCGACUAAUGUUGAAAAAUUAGCGGAUGACUUGUGGCUGGGGGUGAAAGGCCAAUCAAACCGGGAGAUAGCUGGUUCUCCCCGAAAGCUAUUUAGGUAGCGCCUCGUGAACUCAUCUUCGGGGGUAGAGCACUGUUUCGGCUAGGGGGUCAUCCCGACUUACCAACCCGAUGCAAACUACGAAUACCGAAGAAUGUUAUCACGGGAGACACACGGCGGGUGCUAACGUCCGUCGUGAAGAGGGAAACAACCCAGACCGCCAGCUAAGGUCCCAAAGUCAUGGUUAAGUGGGAAACGAUGUGGGAAGGCACAGACAGCCAGGAUGUUGGCUUAGAAGCAGCCAUCAUUUAAAGAAAGCGUAAUAGCUCACUGGUCGAGUCGGCCUGCGCGGAAGAUGUAACGGGGCUAAACCAUGCACCGAAGCUGCGGCAGCGACACUAUGUGUUGUUGGGUAGGGGAGCGUUCUGUAAGCCUGCGAAGGUGUGCUGUGAGGCAUGCUGGAGGUAUCAGAAGUGCGAAUGCUGACAUAAGUAACGAUAAAGCGGGUGAAAAGCCCGCUCGCCGGAAGACCAAGGGUUCCUGUCCAACGUUAAUCGGGGCAGGGUGAGUCGACCCCUAAGGCGAGGCCGAAAGGCGUAGUCGAUGGGAAACAGGUUAAUAUUCCUGUACUUGGUGUUACUGCGAAGGGGGGACGGAGAAGGCUAUGUUAGCCGGGCGACGGUUGUCCCGGUUUAAGCAUGUAGGCUGGUUAUCCAGGCAAAUCCGGAUAANCAAGGCUGAGGUGUGAUGACGAGGCACUACGGUGCUGAAGUAACAAAUGCCCUGCUUCCAGGAAAAGCCUCUAAGCAUCAGGUAACAUCAAAUCGUACCCCAAACCGACACAGGUGGUCAGGUAGAGAAUACCAAGGCGCUUGAGAGAACUCGGGUGAAGGAACUAGGCAAAAUGGUGCCGUAACUUCGGGAGAAGGCACGCUGGUGUGUAGGUGAAGUCCCUGCGGAUGGAGCUGAGACCAGUCGAAGAUACCAGCUGGCUGCAACUGUUUAUUAAAAACACAGCACUGUGCAAACACGAAAGUGGACGUAUACGGUGUGACGCCUGCCCGGUGCCGGAAGGUUAAUUGAUGGGGUUAUCCGUAAGGAGAAGCUCUUGAUCGAAGCCCCGGUAAACGGCGGCCGUAACUAUAACGGUCCUAAGGUAGCGAAAUUCCUUGUCGGGUAAGUUCCGACCUGCACGAAUGGCGUAAUGAUGGCCAGGCUGUCUCCACCCGAGACUCAGUGAAAUUGAACUCGCUGUGAAGAUGCAGUGUACCCGCGGCAAGACGGAAAGACCCCGUGAACCUUUACUAUAGCUUGACACUGAACAUUGAGCCUUGAUGUGUAGGAUAGGUGGGAGGCUUUGAAGCGUGGACGCCAGUCUGCGUGGAGCCAACCUUGAAAUACCACCCUUUAAUGUUUGAUGUUCUAACGUUGGCCCCUGACCGGGGUUGCGGACAGUGUCUGGUGGGUAGUUUGACUGGGGCGGUCUCCUCCCAAAGCGUAACGGAGGAGCACGAAGGUUAGCUAAUCCUGGUCGGACAUCAGGAGGUUAGUGCAAUGGCAUAAGCUAGCUUGACUGCGAGCGUGACGGCGCGAGCAGGUGCGAAAGCAGGUCAUAGUGAUCCGGUGGUUCUGAAUGGAAGGGCCAUCGCUCAACGGAUAAAAGGUACUCCGGGGAUAACAGGCUGAUACCGCCCAAGAGUUCAUAUCGACGGCGGUGUUUGGCACCUCGAUGUCGGCUCAUCACAUCCUGGGGCUGAAGUAGGUCCCAAGGGUAUGGCUGUUCGCCAUUUAAAGUGGUACGCGAGCUGGGUUUAGAACGUCGUGAGACAGUUCGGUCCCUAUCUGCCGUGGGCGCUGGAGAAUUGAGGGGGGCUGCUCCUAGUACGAGAGGACCGGAGUGGACGCAUCACUGGUGUUCGGGUUGUCAUGCCAAUGGCACUGCCCGGUAGCUAAAUGCGGAAGAGAUAAGUGCUGAAAGCAUCUAAGCACGAAACUUGCCCCGAGAUGAGUUCUCCCUGAGACUNNNNNNGACGUUGAUAGGCCGGGUGUGUAAGCGCAGCGAUGCGUUGAGCUAACCGGUACUAAUGAACCGUGAGGCUUAACCUU